rnacentral:misc_RNA from 1 species
GAUGAAGAACGUAGCGAAAUGCGAUACGUAAUGUGAAUUGCAAAUUCAGUGAAUCAUCGAGUCUUUGAACGCACAUUGCGCCCCCUGGUAUUCCGGGGGGCAUGCCUGUCCGAGCGUCAUUGCUGCCCUCAAGCACGGCUUGUGUGUUGGGCCCCGUCCUCCGAUUCCGGGGGACGGGCCCGAAAGGCAGCGGCGGCACCGCGUCCGGUCCUCGAGCGUAUGGGGCUUUGUCACCCGCUCUGUAGGCCCGGCCGGCGCUUGCCGAUCAACCCAAAUUUUUAUCCAGGUUGACCUCGGAUCAGGUAGGGAUACCCGCUGAACUUAAGCAUAUCAAUAAGCGAGGA